UGAGUAACUUUACUUACUUAGAGGCCUAUU
rnacentral:piRNA from 1 species